rnacentral:rRNA from 1 species
AUUGAACGCUGGCGGCAUGCCUUACACAUGCAAGUCGAACGGUAACAGGUCUUCGGAUGCUGACGAGUGGCGAACGGGUGAGUAAUACAUCGGAACGUGCCUAGUAGUGGGGGAUAACUACUCGAAAGAGUGGCUAAUACCGCAUGAGAUCUACGGAUGAAAGCAGGGGAUCGCAAGACCUUGUGCUACUAGAGCGGCCGAUGGCAGAUUAGGUAGUUGGUGGGAUAAAAGCUUACCAAGCCGACGAUCUGUAGCUGGUCUGAGAGGACGAUCAGCCACACUGGGACUGAGACACGGCCCAGACUCCUACGGGAGGCAGCAGUGGGGAAUUUUGGACAGUGGGCGAAAGCCUGAUCCAGCAAUGCCGCGUGCAGGAUGAAGGCCUUCGGGUUGUAAACUGCUUUUGUACGGAACGAAAAGCCCUGGGUUAAUACCCUGGGGUCAUGACGGUACCGUAAGAAUAAGCACCGGCUAACUACGCGCCAGCCGCCGCGGUAA